rnacentral:tRNA from 1 species
UCCCUUGUGGCUCAGCUGGUAAAGCAUCUGCCUGCAAUGCAGAAGACCUGGGUUCGAUCCCUGGGUUGGGAA